CAGGUAGCAGUGAAAUGCGUAGAUAUUGAGAGGAACACCAGUUGCGAAGACGAUCUCUGACGAUCCUGACGCUGAAGCACGAAAGCUGGGGAGCGAAGAGGAUUAGAUACCCUCGUAGUCCCAGCCGUAAUCGGUGCGCACUUGCUGUGGGCGGAUUCGACCCCGUCCGUGGCGAAGCUAACGCGUUAAGUGCGCCGCCUGGGAGUACGGUCGCAAGAUUAAAACUCAAAGAAAUUGACGGGGGCCUGCACAAGCGGUGGAGUAUGUGGCUUAAUUCGAUGCAACGCGAAGAACCUUACCUGGCCUUGACAUGUAGCGGCCCGGGUGCGAAAUCACCCUUUUCUUCGGAACUGCUACACAGGUGCUGCAUGGCUGUCGUCAGCUCGUGUCGUGAGAUGUUGGGUUAAGUCCCGCAACGAGCGCAACCCCCGUGUUCUGUUGCCACCCGGAUGAGAAUCCGGAGCACUCUGGACAGACUGCCUGGUUUCAACCAGGAGGAAGGUGGGGAUGACGUCAAGUCAGUAUGGCCCUUACGGCCACGGCUGCACACGUACUACAAUGCCCGGUACAAUGGGAAGCGAGACCGCGAGGUGGAGCAAAUCCUAAAAACCGGGCCCAGUUCAGAUUGUAGGCUGCAACUCGCCUACAUGAAGGAGGAAUCGCUAGUAAUGCCGUAUCAGCUACGACGGCGUGAAUACGUUCCCAGGCCUUGUACACACCGCCCGUCACAUCAUGAAAGUCGAUUGUACCCGAAGUCGCCGAGUUAACCGCAAGGAGACAAGCGCCGAAGGUAUGGUUGGUAAUUGGGAUGAAGUCGUAACAAGGUAA
rnacentral:rRNA from 1 species